rnacentral:lncRNA from 1 species
AAAAGUUGAUACAGUAUGGAGGAAAGGUGUGACCCUUUCUGCAGACGUGAAGAGUUCCCUAAAUGAUUCUCUGGGAUCAUAGGAAAAUACUCGUAAUAAUGGCCAUAGAUUUUUUUCAAUGGGUUUGAGGUGUUAAAUUCUUCAAGCUCUCCCAUUGCCUGAGUAUCAUAGUCACAUCUGUACCUUGGAAGUCUCCCUUUGGGAUCAGCAUGUAGGAUGGAUUUAAGCGAAUUGGACUGGAGGGCCUGCAGCCAUUGUA